GCUGGCGUAGCUCAAUCGGUAGAGCACCGGUUUUGUAAACCGGCGGUUAUGAGUUCAAGUCUCAUCGCCAGCUCUA
rnacentral:tRNA from 1 species